GGCAGCUCAAGUGGUCGUCGUUUUUAUUGGGCCUAAAACGUCCGUAGCCUGUUCAGUAAACCCGUGGGUAAAUCAACCAGCUUAACUGGUUGAAUUCUGCGGAGACUGCUGGACUAGGGACCGGGAGAGGUAUGAGGUACUCUCAGGGUAGGGGUAAAAUCCUGUCAUCCUGAGAGGACCACCUGUUGCGAAGGCGUCAUACUGGAACGGAUCCGACGGUCAGGGACGAAGCCUAGGGGCACGAACCGG
rnacentral:rRNA from 1 species